CAUGGGCAACUGCCCAGGUCGGCAUCUUGUGGGGGGUGACAAGAUUGACCCCUCACCCCUCUCACCACCCCAGAUACUCCAAUUGUCUGUGUCUCAUUGCAACUUCCAUCCUUCUGUCCAUAGACUAAUGGAUGGAAGACAUAGUGAGAUAUUUCCAUCUCAAUUUAUCUGCCAUCCUUAGGUCUACAGACAGAGGCACAGAAUGUACAUUGUGUCUCUGUCUGCAAACACAGUAUGUGGAUAGAGACAUCAGAAUGUAUCUGUAUAUGGAAAUGUCUCUCUGUACCUGAGUAUUAAGUUAAAAUUAAAACUAAUAUCACUGAACAUUGUUAUUUUUCAGGAAACUGCAUCAAGGGCACAAGCUGGUCCAGCAGCACCUUUGGCACCUAGAGUAUUUUUUCAUAGGUGAGUGAGAACUAUGAGAACUAUUUCAGUAAUGCCUUUACAAAACAUUGUUUGGUAGUUCACAGGGAUCUAAUCUAAAAAUGUAAUAUGUACUUAAAAAAACAAAAGGGUUGAUUUGGACAGUCUCCCAUCUGUUUCUAGGUGAUUUUUAGGCUUCAACCCAGAAAGCAGAACAAAAGCUGCAAAAGUGACAUCAAAACUAACAGGACAACUUAUGCAAAACACUAGGACAGCAGUGAACCUGUGUGUCUCCAUUCUUCUCCUACAUGGACUACCAGUGGAACUUUUAAAAUGCAACCCUUUGAUGAUUUCUGGAGAAGUUCAGGACUGAGACCAACUCAGAACUCAUCCAUGUUGGUUUUGUUUGGCUGUUCACUAAGUCUUAAACUUGUCCACAUGUUUAAGAUGUGCUGUUGGGGUUCCAAAAAAGUUUUGAAAA